GUACUUUAGAAUGCGCUGAAUCAAGAUUCUCAAACGAUCAAAUCUUUUUAUUUAAAACAAGGAGUUUAGCUUGCAUGAAAAUUAUAGAAAUGGGCUUUAAAGUGACAAACUUGAUGCCAUAGUACUUCAAAUAUUACAUUAUGAAGCUGGACUUGACCUACUACUAAUAGGACAGCAAAAUAAAAACCACUUGACCCUACUUUUGGUACUGUUUUAAAAUAUAUACUGCAUUAAAGCUGCAAUGAAAAUUCACUUGUAUAUUCGGAGUAAGUUCCUAGAAAGGUUGUAUUAUAAAGCCGAUUAGUUUAAAGGGAUUGAGAGGGAACGUAAUCUUAAAUAGCU